rnacentral:rRNA from 1 species
GGUUGCGAUCAUACCAGCACUAAUGCACCGGAUCCCAUCAGAACUCCCCAGUUAAGCGUGCUUGGGCGAGAGUAGUACUAGGAUGGGUGACCCCCUGGGAAGUCCUCGUGUUGCAACCC